rnacentral:rRNA from 1 species
UACGUAGGGCGCGAGCGUUGUCCGGAAUUAUUGGGCGUAAAGAGCUCGUAGGCGGCCUGUUGCGUCCGCUGUGAAAUCCCAGGGCUUAACCCUGGGCGUGCAGUGGAUACGGGCAGGCUGGAGGCAGGCAGGGGAGAACGGAAUUCCCGGUGUAGCGGUGAAAUGCGCAGAUAUCGGAAGGAACAUCAGUGGCGAAAGCGACUUCCUGGACCAGUACCGACGUUCAGGCACGAAAGCGUGGGGAGCAAACAGG